rnacentral:sRNA from 2 species
GUACACCCGGAGGUAAACUUAUUCAUUGCUAUCAACUAUGUAUUGGUUGUUGUUGCAGUUGAAAAGCACCCCUUUUGAAAAACUAAGUAAUUCAAUCUUCUGCUUCUUCAAAUUAAGUAUAUUCACACACAUCCACUUCACAAUUAUAUAAUUUCUAACAAUUCCUUAAUUCUUAACAUUCUUUCACUCUGUAUUUUAUUAUAGUAUAAUCUUUAAUAUUUUUUUAUUUUAAUUUCUUUUCUAUAAAAAUAUUUUUUAGAUAACUUUUUCUUUUGAUUCUUUUUCUCUUUCUUUUUUUAAUUGAUUUAUAAUCUGUAUUAAAAUGGUGU